GGGACACGUGGUAUCCUGUCUGAAUAUGGGGGGACCAUCCUCCAAGGCUAAAUACUCCUGACUGACCGAUAGUGAACCAGUACCGUGAGGGAAAGGCGAAAAGAACCCCGGCGAGGGGAGUGAAAAAGAACCUGAAACCGUGUACGUACAAGCAGUGGGAGCACCUUCGGGUGUGACUGCGUACCUUUUGUAUAAUGGGUCAGCGACUUAUAUUCUGUAGCAAGGUUAACCGUAUAGGGGAGCCGCAGGGAAACCGAGUCUUAACUGGGCGUUAAGUUGCAGGGUAUAGACCCGAAACCCGGUGAUCUAGCCAUGGGCAGGUUGAAGGUUGGGUAACACUAACUGGAGGACCGAACCGACUAAUGUUGAAAAAUUAGCGGAUGACUUGUGGCUGGGGGUGAAAGGCCAAUCAAACCGGGAGAUAGCUGGUUCUCCCCGAAAGCUAUUUAGGUAGCGCCUCGUGAAUUCAUCUUCGGGGGUAGAGCACUGUUUCGGCUAGGGGGUCAUCCCGACUUACCAACCCGAUGCAAACUACGAAUACCGAAGAAUGUUAUCACGGGAGACACACGGCGGGUGCUAACGUCCGUCGUGAAGAGGGAAACAACCCAGACCGCCAGCUAAGGUCCCAAAGUCACAGUUAAGUGGGAAACGAUGUGGGAAGGCACAGACAGCCAGGAUGUUGGCUUAGAAGCAGCCAUCAUUUAAAGAAAGCGUAAUAGCUCACUGGUCGAGUCGGCCUGCGCGGAAGAUGUAACGGGGCUAAACUGUGCACCGAAGCUGCGGCAGCGACACUUAGGUGUUGUUGGGUAGGGGAGCGUUCUGUAAGCCUGCGAAGGUGGCCUGUGAGGGUUGCUGGAGGUAUCAGAAGUGCGAAUGCUGACAUAAGUAACGAUAAUGCGGGUGAAAAGCCCGCACGCCGGAAGACCAAGGGUUCCUGUCCAACGUUAAUCGGGGCAGGGUGAGUCGACCCCUAAGGCGAGGCCGAAAGGCGUAGUCGAUGGGAAACAGGUUAAUAUUCCUGUACUUGGUGUUACUGCGAAGGGGGGACGGAGAAGGCUAUGUUAGCCGGGCGACGGUUGUCCCGGUUUAAGCAUGUAGGCGGAGGUUCCAGGUAAAUCCGGUACCUUUUAACGCUGAGGUGUGAUGACGAGGCACUACGGUGCUGAAGUAACAAAUGCCCUGCUUCCAGGAAAAGCCUCUAAGCAUCAGGUAACAUUGAAUCGUACCCCAAACCGACACAGGUGGUCAGGUAGAGAAUACCAAGGCGCUUGAGAGAACUCGGGUGAAGGAACUAGGCAAAAUGGUGCCGUAACUUCGGGAGAAGGCACGCUGAUAUGUAGGUGAAGCCCCUGCGGGUGGAGCUGAAAUCAGUCGAAGAUACCAGCUGGCUGCAACUGUUUAUUAAAAACACAGCACUGUGCAAACACGAAAGUGGACGUAUACGGUGUGACGCCUGCCCGGUGCCGGAAGGUUAAUUGAUGGGGUUAUCCGUAAGGAGAAGCUCUUGAUCGAAGCCCCGGUAAACGGCGGCCGUAACUAUAACGGUCCUAAGGUAGCGAAAUUCCUUGUCGGGUAAGUUCCGACCUGCACGAAUGGCGUAAUGAUGGCCAGGCUGUCUCCACCCGAGACUCAGUGAAAUUGAACUCGCUGUGAAGAUGCAGUGUACCCGCGGCAAGACGGAAAGACCCCGUGAACCUUUACUAUAGCUUGACACUGAACAUUGAGCCUUGAUGUGUAGGAUAGGUGGGAGGCUUUGAAGCGUGGACGCCAGUCUGCGUGGAGCCAACCUUGAAAUACCACCCUUUAAUGUUUGAUGUUCUAACGUUGGCCCCUGACCGGGGUUGCGGACAGUGUCUGGUGGGUAGUUUGACUGGGGCGGUCUCCUCCCAAAGAGUAACGGAGGAGCACGAAGGUUAGCUAAUCCUGGUCGGACAUCAGGAGGUUAGUGCAAUGGCAUAAGCUAGCUUGACUGCGAGCGUGACGGCGCGAGCAGGUGCGAAAGCAGGUCAUAGUGAUCCGGUGGUUCUGAAUGGAAGGGCCAUCGCUCAACGGAUAAAAGGUACUCCGGGGAUAACAGGCUGAUACCGCCCAAGAGUUCAUAUCGACGGCGGUGUUUGGCACCUCGAUGUCGGCUCAUCACAUCCUGGGGCUGAAGUAGGUCCCAAGGGUAUGGCUGUUCGCCAUUUAAAGUGGUACGCGAGCUGGGUUUAGAACGUCGUGAGACAGUUCGGUCCCUAUCUGCCGUGGGCGCUGGAGAAUUGAGGGGGGCUGCUCCUAGUACGAGAGGACCGGAGUGGACGCAUCACUGGUGUUCGGGUUGUCAUGCCAAUGGCAUUGCCCGGUAGCUAAAUGCGGAAGAGAUAAGUGCUGAAAGCAUCUAAGCACGAAACUUGCCCCGAGAUGAGUUCUCCCUGAGACUUUAAGUCUCCUGAAGGAACGUUAAAGACGAUGACGUUGAUAGGUCGGGUGUGUAAGCGUAGCGAUACGUUGAGCUAACCGAUACUAAUGAACCGUGAGG
rnacentral:rRNA from 1 species